rnacentral:rRNA from 1 species
GUGCCAGCAGCCGCGGUAAUACGUAGGUGGCAAGCGUUAUCCGGAUUUAUUGGGCGUAAAGCGAGCGCAGGCGGUUUGAUAAGUCUGAUGUGAAAGCCUUUGGCUUAACCAAAGAAGUGCAUCGGAAACUGUCAGACUUGAGUGCAGAAGAGGACAGUGGAACUCCAUGUGUAGCGGUGGAAUGCGUAGAUAUAUGGAAGAACACCAGUGGCGAAGGCGGCUGUCUGGUCUGCAACUGACGCUGAGGCUCGAAAGCAUGGGUAGCGAACAGGAUUAGAUACCCUGGUAGUCCAUGCCGUAAACGAUGAGUGCUAGGUGUUGGACAGUGCCGCAGCUAACGCAUUAAGCACUCCGCCUGGGGAGUACGACCGCAAGGUUGAAACUCAAAGGAAUUGACGGGGGCCCGCACAAGCGUGGAGCAUGUGGUUUAAUUCGAAGCUACGCGAAGAACCUUACCAGGUCUUGACAUCCAGGUGGUGCAUGGUCGUCGUCAGCUCGUGUCGUGAGAUGUUGGGUUAAGUCCCGCAACGAGCGCAACCCUUGUUACUAGUUGCCACUCUAGUGAGACUG